GAACGGGUGAGUAAUACAUCGGAACGUGCCCUGUAGUGGGGGAUAACUAGUCGAAAGACUAGCUAAUACCGCAUACGACCUGAGGGUGAAAGUGGGGGACCGCAAGGCCUCAUGCUAUAGGAGCGGCCGAUGUCUGAUUAGCUAGUUGGUGGGGUAAAGGCCCACCAAGGCGACGAUCAGUAGCUGGUCUGAGAGGACGAUCAGCCACACUGGGACUGAGACACGGCCCAGACUCCUACGGGAGGCAGCAGUGGGGAAUUUUGGACAAUGGGGGCAACCCUGAUCCAGCAAUGCCGCGUGUGUGAAGAAGGCCUUCGGGUUGUAAAGCACUUUUGUCCGGAAAGAAAUCGCUUCGGUUAAUACCUGGAGUGGAUGACGGUACCGGAAGAAUAAGGACCGGCUAACUACGUGCCAGCAGCCGCGGUAAUACGUAGGGUCCAAGCGUUAAUCGGAAUUACUGGGCGUAAAGCGUGCGCAGGCGGUUGUGCAAGACCGAUGUGAAAUCCCCGGGCUUAACCUGGGAAUUGCAUUGGUGACUGCACAGCUAGAGUGUGUCAGAGGGAGGUAGAAUUCCACGUGUAGCAGUGAAAUGCGUAGAGAUGUGGAGGAAUACCGAUGGCGAAGGCAGCCUCCUGGGAUAACACUGACGCUCAUGCACGAAAGC
rnacentral:rRNA from 1 species